UGCUGACGCUGCCACUGCUGCCAACACAUGUAAAUUAAGACAGAUCUUAGGCCAGGCACAGUGGCUCAUGCCUGUAAUCCCAGCACUCUGGUGUGAAAUGCCUGGAUGUCCAGGCAAAAGUUUGUUGCAGGGGUGGAGCCCACAGGGAGAAUCUCUGCUAGGGCAGUGCAGAAGGAAAAUGUGGAGCUGGAGCCAGCACACAGAGUCCCCACUGGGGCACUGCCUAGUGGAGCUGUGAGAAGAGGGCCACUGACCUCCAGAUCCCAGAAAGGUAGAUCCACCAACA
rnacentral:lncRNA from 1 species